CCUACGGGCGGCAGCAGUGAGGGAUAUUGCGCAAUGGGCGAAAGCCUGACGCAGCGACGCCGCGUGGGCGAGGAAGGCCUUCGGGUUGUAAAGCCCUUUUGGCAGGGAAGAGCAAGGACUGUACCUGCAGAACAAGUCACGGCUAACUACGUGCCAGCAGCCGCGGUAAUACGUAGGGAGCGAGCGUUGUUCGGAUUUACUGGGCGUAAAGCGCGCGUAGGCGGCCUGGUAAGUCGGGUGUGAAAGCCCUCGGCUUAACCGAGGAUCCGCGCUCGAAACUGCCAGGCUUGAGUCUAGGAGAGGAGAGCGGAAUUCCCAGUGUAGCGGUGAAAUGCGUAGAUAUUGGGAGGAACACCGGUGGCGAAGGCGGCUCUCUGGACUAGUACUGACGCUGAGGCGCGAAAGCUAGGGGAGCAAACGGGAUUAGAUACCCCUGUAGU
rnacentral:rRNA from 1 species